rnacentral:rRNA from 1 species
UGACGUCAAAUCAUCAUGCCCCUUAUGACCUGGGCUACACACGUGCUACAAUGGGCGGUACAAAGGGUCGCGAACCCGCGAGGGGGAGCCAAUCCCAAAAAGCCGCUCUCAGUUCGGAUUGCAGGCUGCAACUCGCCUGCAUGAGGCCGGAAUCGCUAGUAAUCGCGGAUCAGCAUGCCGCGGUCGAAUACGUUCCCGGGCCCUU